rnacentral:rRNA from 1 species
GACAGAGGAGGCAAGCGUUGUUCGGAAUUACUGGGCGUAAAGGGGGCGCAGGCGGCCUGGUCAGUGGAAAGUGGAAGCCCGGGGCUCAACCUCGGAAGGCCUUUCCAUACUGCCUGGCUUGAGUUCGUGAGAGGGAAGCGGAAUUCAGGGUGUAGCGGUGAAAUGCUUAGAUAUCCUGAGGAACACCGAUGGCGAAAGCAGCUUCCUGGCACGAUACUGACGCUCAUGCCCGAAAGCGUGGGGAGCGAACAGG